rnacentral:rRNA from 1 species
AUUGAACGCUGGCGUAUGCCCUUCCACACAUGCAAGUCGACCACGGCAGCACGGACUUCGGUCUGGUGGCGAGUGGCGAACGGGUGAGUGGGAAUAUAUCGGAACAUACCCAGUAGUGGGGGAUAACUAUCCGAAAGGAUAGCUAAUACCCGCAUACGAUCUGUGGGGGAUGAAAGCAGGGGAUCUUCGGUUUACCCUUGUGCUAUUGGAAUGGCCGAUAUCUGAUUAGCUAGUUGGUAGGGGGGUAAAAGCCUACCAAGGCGACGAUCAGCCCUGGUCUGAGGGGACGACCAGCCACACUGGAACUGAGUUACACGGGGGUCCAGACUCCUACGGGAGGCAGCACGUGGGGAAUUUUGGACAAUGGGCGGCCAACCCUGCCAUCCAGCAAUGCCGGGGCGUGAGUGAUUAGAAGGCCCUCGGGUUGUAAAGCUCUUUUGCUCAGGGAAGAAACGGAGUUCUCUAAUAUAGGAGGGUUCUAAUGACGGUACCUGAAGAAUAAGCACCGGCUAACUACGUGCCAGCAGCCGCGGUCAAUACGUAGGGUGGGGCAAGCGUUAAUCCGGAAUUACUGGGCGUAAAGCGUGCGCUUAGGCGGUUUUGUAAGUCUGAUGUGACAAUCCCCGGGCCGGGCUCAACCUGGGAACUGCAUUGGAGACUGCAAGGCUAGAGUGUGUCAGAGGCCGGGGUAGAAUUCCACGUGCCCGGGAGCAGUGAAAUGCGUUUUUAGAGAUGCUGGCAGGAAUACCGAUGGCGAAGGGCAGCCCCCUGGGAUAACACUGACGCUCAUGCACGGG